GUCUGGUCGUCCUGGAUGCAAGAAUAAGGUUAGAGAGGUUGAGUUAAUGUUUGAGGCAUCAUUCAUUACAUGCUCCAGAACACAGAUUCUUACCUUGCAAUCUGAGGACUUUUCAACUACAAGGUAUGGCCUACAACCUUCCUUUCUGUACGAUCUGGGCAAACCGACCGGUGGUGGCAAGAGUAGUGUCAAUGAAGCGAUCCACACAGCUCGAGAGGCAGUUUUCAGUGCGGGAGUCUAGCUGAUUUCCUGGCUUCUCCAUGCUCUUAUCUCAACGUAGUUCCACGAAGUGAUGCACCUGCGCAGUGAACCCUGCCUUCUGCUGCUCGAUGGCCACCAGGCGUUGUAACUCAGUUUCACCAAGCUCUGCCAUUAUCAGCGUCAGGCGCUUCGCUGUGGUACUCAUGCGUGGUCCUGAAAGCAACUUUUGCACAGUAUCAUCAACUCUAAGAUCCUCAAGGGCUUCUAUCAAUGAUGAGACACAUCUGCAGAAACUCAUAUACCUUCCAUAGGAUCACAUGUCCUUGUCUAAGGGUGAACACACAGAACAUUGUUCAAGCAAACCAUACCAAUCCUGACCAGAGAGAACAGAGACAAACUGACUCACAGGAGAGAGGACCCAAGUACUUUAAUACAUUUUUUGAAAUUAUUAUAAAUUAUUUUACAAUAUCCAGAGCAAAUGAAACUAAUUAAAAUAUUUUGUAAUACACAUGUCCCCAGAAAUAUUUGUGAAGUUAAAAAUAAAAGAAAAAAAUG
rnacentral:lncRNA from 1 species